rnacentral:rRNA from 1 species
ACUCCUACGGGAGGCAGCAGUGGGGAAUUUUGGACAAUGGGCGCAAGCCUGAUCCAGCAAUGCCGCGUGAGUGAAGAAGGCCUUCGGGUUGUAAAGCUCUUUCAGUUGAAAGGAAAAAGUCGUGACUAAUAAUCAUGGCUCAUGACGGUAUCAACAGAAGAAGCACCGGCUAACUACGUGCCAGCAGCCGCGGUAAUACGUAGGGUGCAAGCGUUAAUCGGAAUUACUGGGCGUAAAGGGUGCGCAGGCGGUUCUGUAAGUCAGAUGUGAAAUCCCCGGGCUUAACCUGGGAACUGCGUUUGAAACUGCAGAGCUAGAGUGCGGCAGAGGGAGGUGGAAUUCCAUGUGUAGCAGUGAAAUGCGUAGAGAUAUGGAAGAACAUCGAUGGCGAAGGCAACCUCCUGGGCUAGCACUGACGCUCAUGCACGAAAGCGUGGGGAGCAAACAGGAUUAGAUACCCUGGUAGUCCACGCCCUAAACUAUGUCAACUAGUUGUCGGGUCUUAAUAGGCUUGGUAACGUAGCUAACGCGUGAAGUUGACCGCCUGGGGAGUACGGUCGCAAGAUUAAAACUCAAAGGAAUUGACGGGGACCCGCACAAGCGGUGGAUUAUGUGGAUUAAUUCGAUGCAACGCGAAAAACCUUACCUACCCUUGACAUGUCAGAAAAUUUUCAGAGAUGAAUUUGUGCCCGAAAGGGAAUCUGAACACAGGUGCUGCAUGGCUGUCGUCAGCUCGUGUCGUGAGAUGUUGGGUUAAGUCCCGCAACGAGCGCAACCCUUGUCAUUAAUUGCCAUCAUUUGGUUGGGCACUUUAAUGAGACUGCCGGUGAUAAACCGGAGGAGGGUGGGGAUGACGUCAAGUCCUCAUGGCCCUUAUGGGUAGGGCUUCACACGUAAUACAAUGGCG